rnacentral:sRNA from 1 species
GAGCCUUUAUUCUGUCAUCUUUUGGCUCUUUAAAAAUCAUUGCAUAUUCCAUCUCUUUUAAAUUAUUGAUUAGAUAUAUGAAGAAUUUAUAAUAGCAAGUUAAGCCAUAAAAGUAAUCACCUUUUGGGAUAAAUAAAAGGAGAUUUGAAAAACAAUACUUAGCAUUCUAGAUUUAUUAGAUCCUGCAUCUUUUGUCUCUAUCUUUAAAUGGUUUUCACUUCCUUGCCUUUCCACUUGAGAUUCUUUUUUAAAUUGUCAGAAAAUAUGAACUGGUAGAUCCUGUUUAUUUUCAUUGACCAAGUCCUCUUUAUUUCAGAUUACUUUAUAUAGAGUUUUCAGUGGGCUCUAUUAUUUCAAUGAAUCUCUGAAUAAUAUGAAUGUUUUGUGUGUUUUUAAAUAGCUCAAGUAAUUCUGUAACCCAAAUUUUAAUUACAGUGCUAUCAUAUAUUUACUUGGCAUUAAAUCUUUCACAUAUGUAAUUAUUACAGACAUCACAGCGAUUUUCGUCAGUUGAUGAACAAGCAAAGCUUCAUAAGACUAUGUCUCAAGGAGAGAUUACCAAGUUGGCAGUGAGACAGAAGGCUUCAGAUUCAGAUAUAAGACCUCAGAGAGCUAAGAUGAGAUUCUGGGCCAAAGG